rnacentral:rRNA from 1 species
AGAGUUUGAUCAUGGCUCAGAUUGAACGCUGGCGGCAGGCCUAACACAUGCAAGUCGAGCGGUAGCACAGAGAGCUUGCUCUCGGGUGACGAGUGGCGGACGGGUGAGUAAUGUCUGGGAAACUGCCCGAUGGAGGGGGAUAACUACUGGAAACGGUAGCUAAUACCGCAUAACGUCGCAAGACCAAAGAGGGGGACCUUAGGGCCUCUUGCCAUCGGAUGUGCCCAGAUGGGAUUAGCUUGUAGGUGAGGUAACGGCUCACCUAGGCGACGAUCCAUAGCUGGUCUGAGAGGAUGAUCAGCCACAUUGGGACUGAGACACGGCCCAAACUCCUACGGGAGGCAGCAGUGGGGAAUAUUGCACAAUGGGCGCAAGCCUGAUGCAGCCAUGCCGCGUGUAUAAAGAAGGCCUUCGGGUUGUAAAGUACUUUCAGCGGGGAGGAAGGCGGUGAGGUUAAUAACCUCAUCGAUUGACGUUACCCGCAGAAGAAGCACCGGCUAACUCCGUGCCAGCCGCCGCGGUAAUAC